rnacentral:rRNA from 1 species
AGUGAACGCUGGCGGUAGGCCUAACACAUGCAAGUCGAACGGCAGCACAGUAAGAGCUUGCUCUUACGGGUGGCGAGUGGCGGAUGGGUGAGGAAUACAUCGGAAUCUACUUUUUCGUGGGGGAUAACGUAGGGAAACUGACGCUAAUACCGCAUACGACCUACGGGUGAAAGCAGGGGAUCUUCGGACUUUGCGCGAUUGAAUGAGACGAUGCCGGAUUAGCUAGUUGGCGGGGUAAAGGCCCACCAAGGCGACGAUCCGUAGCUGGUCUGAGAGGAUGAUCAGCCACACUGGAACUGAGACACGGUCCAGACUCCUACGGGAGGCAGCAGUGGGGAAUAUUGGACAAUGGGCGCAAGCCUGAUCCAGCCAUACCGCGUGGGUGAAGAAGGCCUUCGGGUUGUAAAGCCCUUUUGUUGGGAAAGAAAAGCAGCAGGUUAAUACCCCGCUGUUCUGACGGUACCCAAAGAAUAAGCACCGGCUAACUUCGUG